AACAAACGCUGGCGGCGUGCCUAAUACAUGCAAGUCGAACGGGGAAAGCUUUCGGGUGAGUACUAGUGGCGCACGGGUGAGUAACGCGUGGAUAAUCUGCCUUAGAGUGGGGGAUAACUAGUCGAAAGAUUAGCUAAUACCGCAUAAGACCACAAGAACUGCGGUUCAAGGGGUCAAAGGUUUGUCGCUCUAAGAUGAGUCCGCGUAAGAUUAGCUAGUUGGUAGGGUAACGGCCUACCAAGGCGACGAUCUUUAACUGGUCUGAGAGGAUGAUCAGUCACACUGGAACUGAGACACGGUCCGGACUCCUACGGGAGGCAGCAGUAGGGAAUAUUGCACAAUGGAGGAAACUCUGAUGCAGCGACGCCGCGUGAGUGAUGAAGGCCUUCGGGUCGUAAAGCUCUGUCGCAGGGGAAUAACACAAUGAAGGUACCCUGUAAGAAAGGAUCGGCUAACUUCGUGCCAGCCGCCGCAGUAACAC
rnacentral:rRNA from 1 species